GCGGCCGUAGUCUAGUGUUUUUAAAACCUGAAACGGACAACGGUCAGGAUUCGGGCCUUCCAAGCCUGCGACUCGGGUUCAAAUCCCGACGGCCGCA
rnacentral:tRNA from 1 species